rnacentral:lncRNA from 1 species
ACCCCAUCAUUUCCUCAUCUGUCUUACUCUCUCUCACCAUCCGCCCAGAGCCACCACCAGAAAUCGCUCACGGCACGACAUCACUCCAAACACCCUCAAACUUUCACCAAAAAUUCUCCACCCUCUCCUCUUUCCAAAUCCCUUAACUUUUCCCUUCAAAACCUUUCCAUUUUUGUCAAUUUUCAGAUCUACGACACUAAACCCUACCAGCCACUUGCCCUCUUUUCAAUUACUCGACUGAUUAUACCCUGUUUACGAUUGAAAUUUUCACCAGUCGAAUGCUCUUGAUGAGAGCUAUCCACUAAUGUAAAAUUCACACCAUAUCUCGGAGGUUGCAUUUUGGUCAACCCACUAUUGACCGGCCAAAAUCUUUCAGAAAUUAUUUCUGUCAUUUCGUCUCCAUUUUAUUAGGUAAUAUUAUGUACUUCUUCUUCUUAGCUAGUUGAUUCUUCGUCUUCGUCUUUGUCCAAAUUUUAUCAAAAUGCAAUGAUUGUAAGUUUGUUCUUUCGUAUGUUUAGCAUGCUUUAAGUUAGAUAGGAUUCAAGAUCCAUUAGUUCUUUAUUUACAUAAUUAGAUUAAUAGUUCAGUUGCGUAGCAGUUAGUUUAAUUACAAGUUUGUAGGCUAAAUGAUCUUGAAUUAGUUACAUGAAUAAAUUAGGUUAAUCAUUUUAAUCUGAUUGAAUUUUGAAUAUUUCUUGCUUGGCUGUGAUUUUUAAUUGGUUUAAGUUUCUUGGUAUAGUUAUCCAUAAUUAUUAAGAACUUGAGGGAGCCUAAUAGAAUAUGAAGCUUAGGGGAAUUUUAGUCUAUAACUAACUUAGAAGGUUCUAGAAGGGAAAGAAAGGGAUGGAAAGCAAUAAAACAGUAAAAAAAAAUUAGGUCAAAAGGGACUUAAGGGUUAAAUAAUAGAAAAAGAAAUGGGCUGAAAAAUAAGGAAAGAAUAUCUGAAAGACAAUUGUACCAAAAAUCUAUUAAGGAAAAAUGUCUUUUUUCCCAUUUCACAACUGACACCUCUUCUAUAUAUUCUCUUAUUUUUUGCAUGUCACACAUUAACACUUUCUUCAUUCAUUCUCACUCAUACACACCUCUUCUUACUCACACACGAAAAAAGCACUCCCAAAAUUAGCUGCAAACAAAAUUUUGGAAUUCAAAAACUAGAUUUCAGAUCUAAAAAGUGGAAGGUUUCAUAUUAAUAAGAUUAAAUUAGAAUUCGAAAAGCAAGUUUGAAAUUCCUUUGAUUUAUGGUGUUAACUUUCUGGAUUGCCAAAGAGUUUGGUGCUGCUUCUAUUUGUUUUUGGCUUGAACACCAUCCUCUGUAUUUAGUCCUUUAUUUGGUCAGCUUUCCUAUUGCAUUUCUUUGCUGCUCGGUAUGUUAUGCUCAUCUGUAAUUAGCUGUUGGAUUUAUAAAUGGUGAUUUUGAAUUGUUCAUGUUAAGGUCAUGCUUAAUCUCAUGAAUUUAACUAUGUUUAUUCAGCAAAUUUGCUCCUGAUUGUUCUGUUUGCCAACAACUGAUCUUGCUUGUUCCUUUGAAGAUUUCAUAUACUGAUGUAGUGCUUAGUCGGUUGCUAAUUAACUGUGUUUAGUCAUUGUAUUAAAUUGAAGUUAUUGCUAUCUGAUCUGGAUUCUUGUUAAGUGUUGUUUAGUUUUACUAAAAAUUUUGGCAAAUGUUGAAGUAAGCUAAGUGAUACUCAUGCAUUUCUGCAAGUAGUAAUGGGUAAAUCUAGAAAUUGAAACAAGGAUUUUCAAAAUUACUAGUAUUUCUGAUUGUAAUUAUCGAGGAUAGUUAUUUUGAUGUACUGAUUCUAAAUUGAAAAUGAGGUUUAAACUUCCUAUUUGUCAGAAUAAUCAAAUUUGUAAUGUCAUGAACAAUCAGUUGUUUCAUUCUUUCAUUCUGAGAUUAUAGUUGUAUAUGUUUACUUGUACAGUCCAAGUCUUACAUAGUUGGGUCUGAUGUUACAGUUGGCCUAUUUUGUGGCUCAAAUUGUGAGUUGAGAGUACUGGGCCUCAUCAGGGAGAGCCUAUUAGAAGCUCUGGAUAUGUUAAUUCGUUAAAACCCAUUCAUAAAUCAGAAAUAAUCUCACCUGGUGAUAGUAGGCCAAAUUUUGGCCUUUUGCAGCUAAAUUUGAAACUAAUGCGACCUUACUCUUUAAACAUCCUUGAGUUGAAAUAAAGCUUCCAUUUUAAGUUAGCACUAAUGCAAUUAACAUUUGAAUCUGUAGAAGUGGUCCACCUUUUGUCCAGUUCUAUUACUAAUCUCAACUAUUCAAACCAUAAACUCAUGGCUGCCACGUUUAGCCAUAAUCUAUGAUUUUUUACAAAUAGCCCUAAACUUAGGAAAAUGAAAAAACUUAUGAAUAUUCGUAGAAUGCUUUAUGCGCGCUUUUAAUUUACUAUCGUGAUUAUGUACACGUUUGAGUGACAUAAUUAUAAUCUCAAAAAUAAGUCAAGGUACGCAUUCACACGACUUUGGCCAAACAAUCUUAAUAAUUAAUAAAGGUGUUAUUAAUUGUGUACAUGUACGGUGACACAAUUUUAGCGCACUAAAUAAAAUAGAUUUACACACACAUGAUCCGUUUCAAAGAUAAAUCCAUAAUACCAUAAUUAAAAGCGGUAAAAGGUAAAAUGCAUAUAGGCUCUAAAAAUACGUAAUAAAGCCAAGUAUGAUCAAAGCAACCAUGCUAAAAUUACAGAAUUCGGGAAUGCCUAAUGCCUUUGUAAUGACUUGACCGUUCAUUUUGAGCAUUUUCACUUCGCUCGUUAGUUCUCGGGCAUGACUAGUCCCGUGUGAUGUAUUAUGAUUUAUGUAAACCAUCAGUUUUGGUUUUCAGGGUAAUCAGAAUGAAUUUGGAAGAACAGUUCUCAGUUUGAAGCUUAAAAUUUGAAAGGUUUGACAAAGUUUUGACUUGUUAGUAUAUGAUCUCGGAUUGGAAUUUUUAUGAUUUGGUUAGCUCCGUUAGGUGAUUUGGGACUUAGGAGCGUGAUCGAAAUGUAUUUUGGAGGCCCGUGGAAAGGUUUAGGCUUGAAUUGGCGAAAUUGAAAUUUUGGCGUUUUCCUGUUGAUAGGUGAAAUUUUGAUAUAUGGGUCAGAAUAGAAUUCCGGAUGUUGGAGUAGGACCGUUGUGCCAUUUGUGUUGUGUGUGAAAAAUUUCAGGUCAUUUGGACGAGGUUUGAUAGACUUUUUGAUCGAAAACGGAAUUUGGAUGUUUUUGGAAUUCUUAGGAUUGAAUCCGAUGUGAUUUGAUCAAUUCGAUGUUGUUUGAGGUGUUUUGAAGAUUGGUAUAAGUUUGGGUGGUGGUAUACGACUUUUUGGUGCUUUUGUUUGAGGUCUUGGGGGCCUCGGGGUGAUUUCGGAUGGUUGGCGGAAUAUUUUGAGUUGGGUUGGCAGCUAAAGACUUUCCUAUUGCUGUCAUAACCGCACCUGCGACUAGGGGACCGCAGGUGCGGGCUCGCAGAAGUGGAGAUGGAGCCGCAGAUGCGGCAAAUAGGUAAGUCAGCUGGAACCACAGAAGUGGAUAAGGGAGCGCACCUGUGAUAGCAUAGGUGCAGGCAUUGCAUCGCAGAUGCAAAAAUGGGCUCAUAAGUGAAAAUCGCAGAUGCGAUAUCUUGGACCGCAGGUGCGGAAUCCCUGGGUCAGAAGGUAUAUAUUUCACCCUUCGUGAUUUUUGGCCAUUUUUCUUAAUAUUUCAUUUGGGGAGAAGCUUUUGCGAGCCAUUUCAAUGGAGAUUUUCAGAGGGAUUCAUUGAGGUAAGGUCCUUGGUUCCUAAGCUCAUUAUUAUGGUGAUUUUUAUCGUUGUUAGCAUGAAAUUUAAGGGAAAAUCAGUGGUAAAUUUGGGGAUUAGGGCUUGGGUAAUUAGAGAGCUUUGAGGGGUGAUUUGAGGGACCAUUUGAGGUCCGAUUUUGGUACUUUUGAUAUGCAUGAACUCGUGGUGGAAUAAGGGUUCUAUUGAUGUAAAAUUUGUCGAAUUUUGAGACAUGGGCCCGGGGGUCGGGUUUGGCCAAUUUCGGGAUUUGUGAUGUAAAUUGAUUAUUUUCGAGUGAGCUUUGUUCCUUUAGCGUAUUUUGAUGGUAUAAUUCUGUUUUUGGAUAGAUUUGGAGCAUUUGGAGGCUGAGUCGAGAGGCAAAGGCAUCGCGGGCUAGAGUUUGGACCGGAUAGAGGUAAGUAAUGAUUGUAAAUGUCUGUCUUGAGGGUAUGAAACCCCUGACUUCACAUCGUUGUGCUACUUUGAGGUGACACACACGCUAGAUGACGAGCGUGGGGUCGUGCACCGUUGGGGAUUGUGACUUAGUCCAUCCCGUAUGACUGUUAAACUGCGUAUUUGAUUGAAAACUAUUUGCUAUCAUUGUGUUUUGGAAAGCAUUAUCCUGUUUUAGGGCUGAACGCCAUAUUUAGGCCUCGUGCCAACUGUUUUGUACCCUUAGGGGCUUUUUACUACUAUUCCUCACUGUUUUGACUUCAAAUUUGUACUCAGUCAUGUUGUAUUCUACUGUUUUCAUAACUUAGCCAUGUUUACCCCAUUUUGAUAUUUUAAAUGAUAUUUUGGGCUGAGCAUUGUCACACCUCCUUUUUCAUAUACCCCCGGCAAGGGGAUAAGGAAGUUUUCCUAAUUAAAGUGACAAUCGAAAUGAGAUUACUUCUUUAUUAAAUUUAGAGUCGCUACAUGGGAUAAUUUUAUGGUGUCCCAAGUCACCGUUUCAAAUCCUGAAUCGAGGAAAGAUUGACUCUGUAUUAUAGUCCGUGAACACAGAAAUCCGGGUAAGGAAUUCUAUUAACCCGGGAGAAGGUGUUAGGCAUUCUCGGAUUCCGUGGUUCUAGCACGGUCGCUCAACUGUUAUAAUUGGCUUAUUAUAUGAUUUUAGUACACUUUUAAACCUAUGCACAUUUUUAACUUUAAACCUCUUUUAAUUAAUUAAUUUUUAGGAAGAUUUCAACGUCACAUAAAACGCGUUUUGAACCACGUCAUAUAAAUGCACCCGCAGUCCGCAACACAUUUUAUCUAAUGCUAUUGAGACUUGGAUUUGGGUCACAUAAGUGCGCACCCGAGUUUAGGAAGGUAAAUUACUAAAUAGUGCGCCUAAAGUAACUACGUAUUUUUAAUUUUGCGAGGGCCAUGGAAAUUUACUAAAUGGCACGCCUCAAAUUCUAAGAAUUUUAAGGGAUAUAAUUAAGUGAGGACCAUGCAUUUGGGAUUAUAUUUGGCGCGGCGCACCUCAAUUCCAUUUAAAAGGAUUUUCAAACUAAAGUUGGGGAGCCAUAGACUAUUGGUGUUAAUAAUAUGGCUUACCUCCACUGACUAUGAUAAUUGAAGGUGACUUAAACAAAACUGUAACAUACUCUCCAAAUUGACGCCCAGAUCCAGGUCCUCAAAUUAAGAGGCUGUCUAAAGGCGAUGGACCUCUUUUCAAUUUAAAAUGAUCCCACUGCUCAGGCCCAAAAUGGGUCUGUAUCUUUGUGGAACCAAGAGUAUACGUGAUCAAACCUCAAGUUCAAAUCUCCUAGCAUACAUUCCGUAUUGGAAAAUCAAACGGGAUAUCAACAUCAAAUCCAACAAUGCAAGUUACAUAUUCCCUCAGAUUCGAAACAAAUUAAGCUAAACAAAACCUCAAGGAUUUCCAAAUGGACAAUUUAGCAUUAAAACUAACCGAAAACAUGCUCAUAACUACAACAUGAUUCUUCAGUACUUUACUUGACCCUUAAGAUCAUUGGCCCAUCAGAUGAUUCACUUCAAAAUCCCAACAACUCUGAGCCGUUACACUUAAACAGAUUCGAGUCCAAAGAUAAAAUAAAACACAACAAUGAUGAUGAAUUACUACACAUGAUGACUAACUAAGGAGACGUGAGAAAAUUGAAUGAAAUCCAAUAAUUAUUUAAGAAAUAUGCAGUAGCUAUCAAUAUUGUGGACCCUUUUUCCUUUUAAUCACAAUUGCAAUGCUUCAAAAAUCAAAGAACACAUUCAGCCAAACUUAUUGGUGAACACAUGAGCAAUUGAAUACGACUAAACUAAUGCCAAACCAAAGAAUGACUCAAUACUAAUUUCAGCAAGACCAAUUACAAUUACCAGACUACUUCCACACGUGUGGAUACCAAAACUGUUUAUUCGGUCUUGAAAUAGUCCCGAUUCAAUUACAAGUGAAGUUAUCUACUUAACAUAUAGAUUAUCUAAAAGUAUAGCAUGCUCAAGUACAAAUCUAAAGUGAAACAGAAUGGAAUAAAGGAGGGUUGGAAUGGGACAUUCAAAUCCUUCUUUCUCAUUCUUCAAAUCCAACAUUUCAACAAUCAAUAGCUUUACAAUGUGUACCUGAAAUGAGAAAUAACCAAAAACCAAGCAGGGUCAGUUGGCUAGCAGCUUCGUAGCACAGCAGCAGUUUGAAAAAUAGUUUCAAGCCCAGAAAAUGAAGUGAAACAGUCCAGAAAUGAUUUCAAACCAAACAGUGAACCAAAAGACCUCCACCGGACUCGAUCUUAAAUCAUUUCCACUGUCAGCUAACCAUAAAUUAGUUCAACCUAGGAGAAAAUUCAAAAAUCCCCUACAGUACUCAAUGAUACAGUAACUCUAUUGUAGAUUUCAACCCGGAUUUUUUAAAAGAAAACAAAUUCAAACCAUUUCAACCCUCGAUACAUCAAAGAUGGUUUCAGCCAAUUCGAGAUUAAAAACCAGAAAAUAGAAAUCAAUGAAAUAGUAAUUUCUAGUUUUUUCAGUAUUUUCCAAGUUAUUUUCCUUUUGUAUCUCCCUUUUCUACUCUCUUGUUUAUCUAUCCUAUUUUCAGUCUGUUCAACUCUUUUAAAUAAGCAUUCAGCUUAGUGCCUUCUCCAUUACCAAUUUACCUUUUCAUUUAUUAAUUGUCCACUUAACCUAGUUAGUGUUAUUCUAACCCUACCACUAUUGAGAAGCUUCUUAAUUGGGUGAACACUUUAAACUUAUACUGAUCAAUUCUUAUCAACAUAAUUAAACCAAAAGUUAAACCAAAUUAUUGAACUUAAUCCUAAUUAUUCUGACUAAGUGAUUAAAUGAGAUACGAUUUCAAAAUCUUAAAACAAACUGAUAUCCCAAUUAUACGAAACAAAUCCACAAAACUAAUCUAAAGAAACAAACAGUGGACAUAAAUAAUUUAUACUAGAGGACUGGUCGAAUUUUAAUUAAAAUUGACCAGAAAAAGAAAAAAGAGAUGAGAAAGACGAGCAUCAGAAUAAUACUAAAAAAUAUAAACAUAGAAGCAGGACAGAAAACUCACCGGUCAGUAGUAAUUGAAGAAAACCUUCGAAUCUUCAAUUUUUAAACAAGAUUUUGACUUUAACUGUGUGUUUUUAUCAAGAACACAUAGAUAAAGUCAAAAUUAGCUUAAAGUAUCAACGAAUCUUGACUCUGUAGUUUUAGGUUUAAAACUUAGAUUCAUUAUUCGACAAGUUCUAGUUUGAUUCGAGGGUAACGGAUCGUGGAUUAGGGAAGAUGGGAGUGAUGUGGCUUCAGGGUGUUAAUUUGGGGGUGCUUGGGUAAGUUAAGGUUCGGGGUCGGAUCUUCAAUCUGAAAUUCGAAAGAUUCCAGGGAUGUUCGAGGGAAACUAGUCUAGGAUUUGGAAAGAGAAGACGGAGGGGAUUGUAUGGUGUAAUUUUGGGGUUGUUUGGGGGUUGUCCGCCGCCGUGGGCGAUUUACGGUGGGCGGCAGAUGGUGGUGUGAGGUGGUGCCUGGCUGGUCUCUGAAGGUUAGAGACGAGAGAGAGAGAGUAUGGAGUUUUUGAGAGGGGGGGGGGGUAAGGUUUUGGGUAUAUUAAAAUUAGGGAAUUAAUUAGAGCCGUUGGAUGAAUGAAAUCCAGUGGCUAUGAUUAAUCUCUUAAUGAAACGGGGUUGUUUUAGGUUAAGAUGGGGCGGUCCGGGUAUGGGAACGGGUCUGGGCUUGGGUCAUGGGCGAGGUUAUGGACCGUUCGAUCAAGUGAGAUCGACGGUCCUGAUCAAACUAUACCAAACGACGUCGUUUGAUAUGGCCUGGGAUGGACUAGGUUUUGACACGGGUUUGGGCUGGAUCGGGCAGGUUUGGCUGGGUAAUUNNNNNNNNNNNNNNNNNNNNNNNNNUUUUUGAAUGUUUUUAUUUUUGUAAAACAACAAUUCACUUAAUUAAUCUAAAAAAUGUAAAAUUAAAUCCUAAAUGCAGAUACUAUAUUUUUUUAUUUUUAAUGCAUUAAACAUGUACACAAACAUAUCCAAACAAUCAAGAAAAUAACAUAAUAAUUCCUAAAAAUAACACAUAAUUAAAGAAAAGACCUAAUUUUGGGAAUUCUUUUGGAGUAAUUCGUAUGAAGCAAAAAUCACGUGUUCACAGCUGCCCCUCUUUGCCCAAAAAUACGAAAAGUUUUCGUGAAAAGAUAAAGUGAGCGGAUACGAGCGAUUUUUGCCAGUUUAAAGACUCCGUGGGAAGCAUUUUUUUUGAAAGAAUUUGACCGAACCUUUGCUUCAAAGGUUUCCUACAUAUCCUUGGCUAUAAAGGAAUCAUGUUAAUGUAGUUCGGGAAGUUUCGGUAGCUAGGACUACCAUGAAGCUGUGGUUUCACUAUUACUGCUGCUGCUGCUGCUGAUACUGCUUACUGACCUCCUUAUUACACCAUGACAAAAUGAAGAAGCUAGACUAAGCUAUAAUCUAUGCUUUACAAAGAUUUAUUUUCAAACUUGGUCUUGUGACUGUUGUUGCCUUGUUGACUUGAAUUUUCUUCAGAAGUUCCUUUGUUGCUCACUCGAAUUGUAUUUUUGAGAUGCUUUCCCUCUCCUCCAGGCGGGCACCUCAUUUGUUGAACCUUUAAACGUCUUAUUUUGACCAUUGUUGCCUAUCUCUGUUCUCCAGACGGACCCCUGAUUGCUUGGACUUGAAUUGCUUCCUCCCUUCGUUCUCCAGGCGGGCUCCUGAUUAUUGAAACUUGAAUUGUAUUGCCUCUAUUAUUUUCCAGGUGAGCUUCUGAUUACCAAAACUUGAACUGCUUUCUAUUCUUUGAAAUUAGUAUUGUCCUUCCCUGUUCUUCAGAUGGGCAUCUAACUUCCAAAACUUGGGUUGUGUUCCCUUGUUCUCCAGGUGGGCUCAUGACUGCUUGACUUGAGUUGUAUUCCAUUGCUCUCCAGGUGGGCGCCUGAUUGCUGAAACUUUAACUGUUGUCCUUUGUUCUCCAGGUGGAUGCCUGAUUACUGAAUCUUCAACUGCUUUUCCUUGUUCUCCAGAUGGACGCCUGAUUGCUUGAUUUGAACAGUUUCUCCUUGUUCUCCAGGUGGAUGCCUGAUUGUUGAAGCUUGAAUUGCAUUCCCUUGUUCUUCAGGUGGGCUCCUGACUGCCGGGUCUUUAACUGCUUUUCCUUGUUCUCCAGGUGGACGC